CUCGAGGCCCGGGCUGCGGGAGAGCAUAACCGGGUAAGGACAGCCGGGAUGGGACUGGGAUGGGACCGGGAUGGGGGAACGGGGAUGGAGACAGGGAUCGGGACAGGGAUGGGGACAGGGAUGGGACUGGGAUGGGACCGGGAUGGGGACAAGGAUGGGGAGACAGGGAUGGGGAGGGGAGACGGGGAUGGGGGAACUGGCAUGGGAAACAGCGAUGGGGGAUGGAUGGGGAGGGGGGACAGGGAUGGGGACAGGGAUGGGACGCAUGGGAAACAGCGAUGGGGGAUGGAUGGGGAGGGGGGACAGGGAUGGGGACAGGGAUGGGGGAACGGAGAUGAGGAGCGGGGCAGAAGCAGGGAAGAGGGGACAGACGUGAAGAGGGGGCACAGACGGAGGGGGACACGGGCACGGGGACACAGGCACGGGGAGGGGGACACAGGCACGGGGAGGGGGACGCAGCCACGCGGGGGCUCCGGCGGGCAGAGCAUCCCUGCUCAGCGCUCCCGCUCCCCGCAGCGGCGGCUCCCGGCUCCAGCCCAGGUUGGCGAGCAGGGGGCGGCCCCAGGGCUGCGGCACCCCCGGCCCCUCCGAGCCCCAUCGCUCCUCCCGGGGGAGCGGCCAGCGCGGGGAGCGCUCCCGGCGCGGCUGCGGGAGCUGGGAGGCUCCAGCGGGAGAGCAGCCCUGGAGCUGCAGGAACAAGAUGCCCGUGAAGUUUAACCUCUCCUAAGAGGGAAAAAAAACCACAGAGAA
rnacentral:lncRNA from 1 species